AUAGCAUAUGUACCCUCGAGAGAGUACUGAACUGUUUUAAUAAUAAAUAUCUGGUUUAUUUCACCAAUUUUCUACGACUAGAUACACAAUUUAAUUAAUACAAAGUAUAUCAAUAUCAAAUCAAUAAUCAUGUAUAUAAAACAUGAAUUCACAUGAAAAAACAACACAAAAACAACACCUUCCAUUACAAGAAACAUUUAAAUACCUGGGUUCCCAUCUGGUGCAUCAUCGUAGCCACCAAAAAGAAAUAACUAAUGUCCAAAAAUAUAAAAUAAUUUACUUCUCAAAUGUUUACAAUUUUUAUCACUUUCAUUUUUUAACUUGUGAGCCUGCGUAACCUUGUACAGCAGUUACAGGCCAAAACUACUGUCUACUUCGUCUUACCAUUUGUAUUGUUUCUCAUCA